UCCGGCGGAAAGGAAAGUCCGGGCAACGCAGAGCGCCAUACUUCCUAACGGGAAGAUGCCCGCGAGGGUAUAGAAGUGCAACAGAAAAUAACCGCCCCGAUUCUGUCGGGGUAAGGGUGAAAAGGUGAGGUAAGAGCUCACCGGUUCAGGUGGCGACACCGGAAGCCGUGCACCUUAUGGGUUGAAAGACCAUGUAUACCGGCGACUGAGGGCUGCUCGUCCGAUGCCGGGGGGUGGGUCGUAUGAUUCCGCCAGCAAUGACGGAACAAGAUAAAUGAUGGAAGAAGAUUCAGCUUUCUCGUGAAGAAAUGUGGAUCUUUACAGAACCCGGCUUACAGGCCGGCUGCAUUA
rnacentral:RNase_P_RNA from 1 species